rnacentral:rRNA from 1 species
GUAACGCGUGAGGAUCUGCCUAUAGGUUGGGGACAACAGAUGGAAACGUCUGCUAAUACCCAAUGUGCCGAGAGGUGAAAGCUUUAGUGCCUGUAGAUGAGCUCGCGUCCGAUUAGCUAGUUGGUAGGGUAAAGGCUUACCAAGGCGACGAUCGGUAGCUGGUCUGAGAGGAUGAUCAGCCACACUGGGACUGAGACACGGCCCAGACUCCUACGGGAGGCAGCAGUGGGGAAUUUUCCGCAAUGGGCGAAAGCCUGACGGAGCAAUACCGCGUGCGGGACGAAGGCUUUUGGGUCGUAAACCGCUUUUGUUAGGGAAGAACACAAUGACGGUACCUAACGAAUCAGCAUCGGCUAACUCCGUGCCAGCAGCCGCGGUAAUACGGAGGAUGCAAGCGUUAUCCGGAAUUAUUGGGCGUAAAGCGUCCACAGGUGGUUUAUCAAGUCUGCUGUUAAAUCGUAGGGCUUAACCCUAUAAAGGCAGUGGAAACUGAGAGACUAGAGUACGGUAGGGGUAGCGGGAAUUCCCAGUGUAGCGGUGAAAUGCGUAGAUAUUGGGAAGAACACCAGCGGCGAAGGCGCGCUACUGGGCCGAAACUGACACUCAUGGACGAAAGCUAGGGGAGCG